rnacentral:rRNA from 1 species
AGUGAACGCUGGCGGUAGGCCUAACACAUGCAAGUCGAACGGCAGCACAGUAAGAGCUGGCUCUUACGGGUGGCGAGUGGCGGACGGGCGAGGAAUACAUCGGAAUCUACUUUUUCGUGGGGGAUAACGUAGGGAAACUUACGCUAAUACCGCAUACGACCUACGGGUGAAAGCAGGGGAUCUUCGGACCUUGCGCGAUUGAAUGAGCCGAUGUCGGAUUAGCUAGUUGGGGGGGUAAAGGCCCACCAAGGGGACGAUCCGUAGCUGGUCUGAGAGGAUGAACAGCGAAACUGGGACUGGGACGCGGACAAGCCUCUUAAGGGAGACAACAGUGGGGAAUUUUGGACGUUGGGCGAAAGCCAGAUCCAGCCAUGCCACGUGGGUAAAGAAGGCAUUCGAGUUGUAAAACCCUUUUGUUGGGAAAGAAAAGCGGCGGGUUAAUACCCCGCUGUUCUGACGGUACCCGAAGAAUAAGCACGGGCUAACUUCGUG